rnacentral:rRNA from 1 species
UCGUGCCAACGGCAUAGCUGGGUAGCUAUGUGUGGACGGGAUAAGUGCUGAAAGCAUCUAAGCAUGAAGCCCCCCUCAAGAUGAGAUUUCCCAACUUCGGUUAUAAGAUCCCUCAAAGAUGAUGAGGUUAAUAGGUUCGAGGUGGAAGCAUGGUGACAUGUGGAGCUGACGAAUACUAAUCGAUCGAAGACUUAAUCAAAA